AGAGUUUGAUCCUGGCUCAGGACGAACGCUGGCGGCGCGCCUAACACAUGCAAGUCGAACGAGCGAGAGAGAGCUUGCUUUCUCGAGCGAGUGGCGAACGGGUGAGUAACGCGUGAGGAACCUGCCUCAAAGAGGGGGACAACAGUUGGAAACGACUGCUAAUACCGCAUAAGCCCACGGCUCGGCAUCGAGCAGAGGGAAAAGGAGCAAUCCGCUUUGAGAUGGCCUCGCGUCCGAUUAGCUAGUUGGUGAGGUAACGGCCCACCAAGGCGACGAUCGGUAGCCGGACUGAGAGGUUGAACGGCCACAUUGGGACUGAGACACGGCCCAGACUCCUACGGGAGGCAGCAGUGGGGAAUAUUGCACAAUGGGGGAAACCCUGAUGCAGCGACGCCGCGUGGAGGAAGAAGGUCUUCGGAUUGUAAACUCCUGUUGUUGAGGAAGAUAAUGACGGUACUCAACAAGGAAGUGACGGCUAACUACGUGCCAGCAGCCGCGGUAAAACGUAGGUCACAAGCGUUGUCCGGAAUUACUGGGUGUAAAGGGAGCGCAGGCGGGAAGACAAGUUGGAAGUGAAAUCCAUGGGCUCAACCCAUGAACUGCUUUCAAAACUGUUUUUCUUGAGUAGUGCAGAGGUAGGCGGAAUUCCCGGUGUAGCGGUGGAAUGCGUAGAUAUCGGGAGGAACACCAGUGGCGAAGGCGGCCUACUGGGCACCAACUGACGCUGAGGCUCGAAAGUGUGGGUAGCAAACAGGAUUAGAUACCCUGGUAGUCCACACUGUAAACGAUGAUUACUAGGUGUUGGAGGAUUGACCCCUUCAGUGCCGCAGUUAACACAAUAAGUAAUCCACCUGGGGAGUACGACCGCAAGGUUGAAACUCAAAGGAAUUGACGGGGGCCCGCACAAGCAGUGGAGUAUGUGGUUUAAUUCGACGCAACGCGAAGAACCUUACCAAGUCUUGACAUCCCUUGACGAUGCUGGAAACAGUAUUUCUCUUCGGAGCAAGGAGACAGGUGGUGCAUGGUUGUCGUCAGCUCGUGUCGUGAGAUGUUGGGUUAAGU
rnacentral:rRNA from 1 species